AUGAGUGAGGAGACAAAGCUAGGGAGCCAGGUGUGGUGGCAGCAGCCUGUCGCCCCAGCCACCCGGGACAGCAACAGCAGCAGAGAGAGAAGGGUGUGGUUUGAGCAGGAACACACGGCCCAGCUGCCUACCGCCUGUUGUGCAAGGGGACCCGUGCCAUGCGGGCUGUGGGGGCUUCCGCCCCUGCUGGGCAGCCCGGGUUUGUCCUCUAAGCUGGCAGGGAGCGUGGCAUUCGGAGCACGUGGGACCCGGGUGGACAUCACCAUCACCGGGGAGAGGGGGAGCGAAUGUCAGCGACCGACAGGAGACGCUGUCCAGGUGCUGAGGACGCAGGUGGCCUGGCCCAGCUGCAGUCCUCCGCAGGUGUUGAGGUGCAGUUCGGCUUGCUCAGCGCUGGGAGAAAGGGCUGUCAGCGAGAUUUACAGUCCAGUCUUCAGAGGGCUCACAGCGACCCUCAGAGAAGAUACCCAGACAACCCUGUCCUGUCGUUUUCCCUGGAAACGCAAGCAGCCACCAGUAGCUGCCCUAGAUUUGCAUCAAAGGGACACCUGUCCCUCGGGAGAGCCCCAGAGAUGGCGGCGCUGCUUUGCAGACAAAAAGCUGCUAAAUAAAUCUGCCUAUGGAGCUAUAGAGAGCCCAGCCUGAGCAAAGAGGCUCUCGUGCCCUUCG
rnacentral:lncRNA from 1 species